rnacentral:tRNA from 1 species
GCGGCCCGAAGCCCUGAGGGCCGGUGCCCGGGUUCUGCGUGCCUGGGCCCGGGUUCUGCGUGCCUGGGCCCGGGUUCUGCGUGCCUGGGCCCGCC